UCCCUUGUAGCUCAGUCGGUAAAGAAUUUGCCUGCAGUGCAGGAGACCCAGGUUUGAUCCCUGGUCUGGGAA
rnacentral:tRNA from 1 species